GGGAACUCCUACAGCAAUCAUUUUAAAAGUUUGGUAAGACAUGAACUGUGUUACAGUUGCAAUUAUAGAAUCUGUGCUGUGCAACAAGAAUAUGUAACUAAAUUGUGUAAUGAGAAUGAAGUCCUUUUAGAAACCUUCCAGGAAAAAGUCUAAAAUAGACUCAUCUUGCACUAUAUUUCAUGUUACAGCCUGACUCCAUUGUAUAUGCCAGAGAAGCUGUGAAGCCUGGAAGAAUAGAGUUCUUCUAGAAUUACAAGUGAGAGAUUUGACAAAGGGCUUUUCUGGGGGUUGGAGGGCCAGGGCUGAGUCCAUUCAAUAGCUAAUCUUAUUAAACCCCAAAAAAAGUGACUAUGAUCCAUUAAGAAAAAGAUGAUCAACACAAUUCUAUUAAUUUGACUAUUUUCAGGUUGGUAAUUAAACUGAUCAGAGCUCUAGUCUUACUUUUUGGGCCUAGAAUAGGAAAUCUUUCUAAUUACAAGUACUUGGGGAGGGGGAGAACCACUGAAGGUUAAAUCAGUGUUGACCAAAUACUAGUAAAGCUGGUAAUUUAAGCCUCACAGUAGAGAUAGUAUAUCAAAAUGUGGUUUACCACAGGAAAACUACUGACACACCACUAUCAAGUUUGGCAGCAAGAACUCAAACAAUACUCUUACACUCUUUUCAAUCAAUUUUAAAAAGUAUUCCAAAAGUACUCAAAUGUAGAGGAAAGUUUUUUUGUUUGUGUCUAAUAGCUUCCCAGCAGCCUCGUGGUGAACCUCACACACACAAUGGCUUCACUGAUUUCUGUGGUGACCAACUUAUUUUUCCGCGUCACAAAAACCCACUUUGUGAUGUCUUGACCACAUACCAGAGGCACUGCUCGCGACGUCUCGACACGAGGCCGGGGUGCAGUGGAGUACAUGUAGUUGAAGAGUCUGUCAAUCUUCCUCAGAGGAACACCCCCUCCUCGGUCACUCAUCUAAGGUGAGAAAGGAUCAAACCCAUGACCGAGGCCCAGGCACAGCAAAAUACCGAUGCACACGAUGUCCCGGUUAACUGAUGGCUGAAGAGCUCUGCUUUUCAAAACGAAUACCAAGCAAUCCAAGUUGCGAAUGGGAAACCUUUCCCGCAGUGCUGGACCUUCACGCCUUUAGUAUGUAGCAUUCUAAGACCUAAUGAACUCCACUGUAAUGUAAAUCCAGUGCUGUAGCUUUGUGACAUGACUGUGAUCACACUAAUGCCGUUCAGCGCACAACGGGGCCUAAGCGAAGCCUAUCUUGGCUGUGACAAUAAAUCUGUAAUUCCUUUCUGGCAGGCGGUUUGGCAACCAGAUUAAAAAUGCGUGCACCCUGUGACCCAACAAGGUUUAUCCUGAGAAAAUAAUCAAAGUAUGCAGGGUAGGACAAAAGAGAACCAUUUCAUUGUGUUUUAGAGUCUCAUCUACAAGUCAGUUCAGAGCAUAGCCUCCUGGACAACUUUCUGGCUGAAAUCCACCUCUUCUCUCCUCCACCUGCUGCUGGCUGAAGACAUGGUAACCACACUGGGCAAGACUAUGGGCUUGAUGUGGGGCAGUCACUUCAGCCACAGGAAGCUGUACCACGCCUCAUCACUCACUUUACUGUCGACUGGCAAGUAUCAUUGAUCUGCUGAUGAGAGAAAAUGUACUCUCGACAUGACUAGCAAAUUUUAUUUAGUUUUCAAAAUUUUUGUAAAGAGCAAAUAUAAUACUAGAAGUCCUAUAAGUCAAUAUAAAUGACUUUCUCAAAAAAAAAAAAAAAGCAUAUAACAGUGGGACUGUGGUCCUUUAAG